rnacentral:lncRNA from 1 species
AAGAAGCCUAGGAAACUUAGAGCAUUGCAAGAAAGAGAGGAAUCUAGACUGCCAAACAGCCUGUCCUCUUAGCUGUGCUUGUCAAAAGGUUUUUACCUCAGAAUCCCAGGGUAUAUCUUGGUUAUAAACAACUAGUAUAUGUCUAAGUUAACAGCUUAGUAACCUGAGUACAGUUAUGUAGCAGAAGUUUUAAUCAUUUUCCACAUUUUCUUUUUUUGUCGUCUUAAGGAUUUCUGGACUGGGUGAAUCUUAUCUGCAUUUGGCAAUCAUGAUUCUGAGACUGAAAUUGUGUAACUCUGGAAUUUUAGAGGUGACUGCGUGACAAUUCUGAGAGGCCAAUGCCAAUGAGAGAAAAGUUUACUGCUACUCAUGAUGGCGCCCCUGGAAGCAGAAGACACAGCACGCUAUAGAGGGCCAUGUGGGAAAGCACUGGAGUAGCUCCAGGCCGGGCUUGCCAGUCUCUCUGCACUCUGGAAGGAGUUUGCCUGGGUUGGGGUUGUCCCUUGGUAGAUUCCAAACCUUCAUUUUGUCAAUUUACUUAAAGGUGACUGGGUUUAAAGGGGCUGACUGAUUGUAAAUAACUUGGAGAAUAAAUCAAUAUUCAUUAAUAAAGUUAAAUAAUUCACGUAAAAUUAAAGUAUAAUAGGCAUAAUUUAUAUUAUUGGUUUUUUUUUCAAUUUAGGGGCAUUCGCUCCUUCUUUAUAGAUUCACUCAGAAAAUUGUAUUAUGGAACACAGUUUCAUUCAUAAGUAUAGAGUUUGAGCGAAAGGGUAGAU